GACGAACGCUGGCGGCGUGCUUAACACAUGCAAGUCGAACGCUGAAGCCCUGGCUUUUGUUGGGUUGGCUGAGUGGCGAACGGGUGAGUAACACGUGAGUAACCUGCCCUCUUCUUUGGGAUAACGCCCGGAAACGGGUGCUAAUACUGGAUAUUCACUGGCCUUCGCAUGGGGGUUGGUGGAAAGGUUUGUUCUGGUGGGGGAUGGGCUCGCGGCCUAUCAGCUUGUUGGUGGGGUGAUGGCCUACCAAGGCUUUGACGGGUAGCCGGCCUGAGAGGGUGACCGGUCACAUUGGGACUGAGAUACGGCCCAGACUCCUACGGGAGGCAGCAGUGGGGAAUAGUGCACAAUGGGCGAAAGCCUGAUGCAGCGACGCCGCGUGAGGGAUGGAGGCCUUCGGGUUGUAAACCUCUUUCGCUCAUGGUCAAGCCGCAACUGUGGGUUGUGGUGAGGGUAGUGGGUAAAGAAGCGCCGGCUAACUACGUG
rnacentral:rRNA from 1 species